CACGUAGGGCGCGAGCGUUGUCCGGAAUUAUUGGGCGUAAAGAGCUCGUAGGCGGCCUGUUGCGUCCGCUGUGAAAGCCCGGGGCUUAACCCCGGGUCUGCAGUGGAUACGGGCAGGCUAGAGGUAGGUAGGGGAGAAUGGAAUUCCCGGUGUAGCGGUGAAAUGCGCAGAUAUCAGGAGGAACACCGAUGGCGAAGGCAGGUCUCUGGGCCACUACUGACGCUGAGAAGCGAAAGCAUGGGGAGCGAACAGG
rnacentral:rRNA from 1 species